rnacentral:tRNA from 1 species
UGGUCUAUUAGCUCAGUCGGUAGAGCACCUGCCUUACAAGCAGGGGGUCACAGGUUCGAGCCCUGUUGGUCCCACCA